UACGAAGGGGGCUAGCGUUGCUCGGAAUCACUGGGCGUAAAGCGCACGUAGGCGGAUCUUUAAGUCAGGGGUGAAAUCCUGGAGCUCAACUCCAGAACUGCCUUUGAUACUGGGGAUCUCGAGUCCGGGAGAGGUGAGUGGAACUCCGAGUGUAGAGGUGAAAUUCGUAGAUAUUCGGAAGAACACCAGUGGCGAAGGCGGCUCACUGGCCCGGUACUGACGCUGAGACGCGAAAGCGUGGGGAGCAAACAGG
rnacentral:rRNA from 1 species